rnacentral:rRNA from 1 species
CAGUCGCCACGGUAAUACGAGGGGUGCAAGCGUUAUUCGGAUUGAUUGGGUGUAAAGGGUGUGCAGACGGCUUAUUAAGUCACUUGUUAAAUUCUUCGGCCUAACUGAAGGUCUGCAAGUGAUACUGAUGAGCUAGAGGGUGGAAGAGAGAAGUGGAAUUCUCGGAGUAGCGGCAAAAUGCGUAGAUCUCGAGAGGAACACCAAUGGCGAAGGCAGCUUCUUGGUCCAUUCCUGACGUUCAUACACGAAAGCGUGGGGAGCAAACAGGAUUAGAUACCCGCGUAGUCCCUGUCUCUUAUAC